AACACAGUUCAGAAGCUCACAGCAAUUAACAUCAGCUUGAGAACCAAGUUGAACCCUCCGAACUCCAAAAACCACGGGGUUACAGAAUCAUCUCAAAAUCUGAACAAAUUGCAACGAUGGAAAAAAAUAAGAGUGGAAAAAAAUAAGAGUGUCUUCAGCAUAAGUCUACGAACGCAUGCCAUAGCAGAAAUGUUUGCCAGCCACCCACUGUUCGGGCACUUUUCCCCUGUGGACUCCCAAUCAGGCUCGGCACCACGUUUUCCAGCAAACAUUGAGUAAACUGGACGAAGGAUGGGCUCUCGGACAGAGCUACUCAAGAUUAUCUGUGAGACUUGCAACAUACCUUGAGGAGGCUAAGCUUUAUACUCUUGGAACGGAGGAAAUGGUGGUGGAAACAACCCUGGCACCAUGGGAAAUACUGCUGGUCAUUUGUGCUGCAGUGCUGGUCAUGAGCUUCCUUAUGGUCCUGCCCCCUGCAAUAGUGGUGAUCUGGCGGAUGAAGCGUGUGCCUCAGAUCUCACUGCACGGCUCAGUGUAAGCCAGACACACAUUCUUUCAAAGGCUGCUUCAGAACAAUGAAAUCUCUCAGGAUCACCUUUACAGCUCAAGGUCCAUCCCAAACUCGCUGUUUUUCCACUCCGUUUCUGUUAAGUCCCGGUAAAAAGAGAAUGUGUCAAAUUUUGUUUUCAUUUGAUGCAGCCCUUUGCCUUCUGUUUGCUGUCUACACUGUAUUGCUAUUGGUAAUAUAAGUAAUAUAGAUACUUAAUUCCUACAUUGUUGUCGUCUUUCACUAUAAUGAAGUGAAAACAAUACUGAAAAGUAAGACUCUACAGUACUGUAUUCCCUUUAAUAAUAACCAGUAAAGUCUGCCUCUCUGAAGUUAUGCUGCAAGUAUUACAAAGCCUUUGAGGUCACUGAUAAGUUGUGGUUGUAUCAAAAUAAGCAGCAUAGUCUGGGGAGCUGGUUUAGUCUGGUUGUGCUGCGAAACCUGCAAAAAUGAGGAGUGGUGCAACAAAUGAGCAUCUUUUUCUUAUUUUUCUGAUUUGAAAUUGUUGGCGUAUAAUGUUUCUUGUUGCUUUACUGCAAUGUGAAUAUUCUUCUCUUUGCUAAUUCCUGAGUGUCAGAAUGCAAAGCCCUUCCCACUCCAGGGUUGGAACAAGAGGCUCAGCCCAACGCUCAGACAUGCCCAGCCAGACGCCAGCUCGUAGUUAAUGCAAACAUAAGGCAACUAUUUGCCUAAAUUACAUUAUGCAAAUUCAGUCUGGGAAGUAAUGUCAUUAAAUUUACUUUAGUUUUUAACUGUGUUGUACAGGCUUAUUGGUUCUACUGCCCUUUCUCACAUAUAAAUAACAAAUUGGGUGGUGGGAAUAGAACAAAAUAACUUCUCUGCAAUUUUAUAACAAUAAUAAUUUUUAGCUUAAUAUCAAAUUCAUGCAGUAUCAUAUUAAAGCCUUCCAGCCUAUUUCUUUCACAUUAAGUGAAGCUUAUUAGUAAGCUUUUUUAUGCAAAGAUUUAAUAGUUUCUAUUACUUUACAAGAAGAAUGGGCUUGAGUUCCUUAUGAAGUCCAACACUGUGGUUUUUCUCCUUUGUUAGUUGGUUUGGAAAGUUGCUGGAUUAGCUCAAUAAAACUACAGAAAGUUAUUUUUAGUACCA
rnacentral:lncRNA from 1 species